rnacentral:rRNA from 1 species
CAGCACCUCAAGUGGUCAGGAUGAUUAUUGGGCCUAAAGCAUCCGUAGCCGGCGCUGUAAGUUUUCGGUUAAAUCUGUACGCUCAACGUACAGGCUGCCGGGAAUACUGCAGCGCUAGGGAGUGGGAGAGGUAGACGGUACUCGGUAGGAAGGGGUAAAAUCCUUUGAUCUAUUGAUGACCACCUGUGGCGAAGGCGGUCUACCAGAACACGUUCGACGGUGAGGGAUGAAAGCUGGGGGAGCAAACCGGAUUAGAUACUCGAGUAGUCC